rnacentral:rRNA from 1 species
GGUCAAAUCAUCAUGCCUCUUACAUCUAGGGCUACAGGCGUGCUACAAUGGUCAGUACAGCGAGUCGCAACACGGUGACGUGAAGCUAAUCUCUGAAAGCUGAUCUCAGUUCGGAUUGGAGUCUGCAACUCGACUCCAUGAAGUUGGAAUCGCUAGUAAUCCCGAAUCAGAAUGUCGGGGUGAAUACGUUCUCGGGUGUU